GGAAUGUGGUUCAGUGGUAGUAUGCUUGCCUUGCAUGCAUGGGGCACUGGGUUUGAUCCUCGGCACCA
rnacentral:tRNA from 1 species